rnacentral:rRNA from 1 species
GUGAGGAAUAUUGCGCAAUGGAGGCAACUCUGACGCAGCCAUGCCGCGUGCAGGAAGAAGGCGCUACGCGUUGUAAACUGCUUUUAACCGGGAAGAAACCCCAGGACGUGUCCUGGGUUGACGGUACCGGAGGAAUAAGCACCGGCUAACUUCGUGCCAGCAGCCGCGGUAAUACGAAGGGUGCAAGCGUUAUCCGGAUUCAUUGGGUUUAAAGGGGGCGUAGGCGGAGCGUUAAGUCAGUGUGAAAUCCUGCAGCUUAACUGUAGACUUGCCAUUGAUACUGGCGCUCUUGAGUGCGCUUGAAGUGGGCGGAAUGUGCCGUGUAGCGGUGAAAUGCUUAGAUAUGGCACAGAACACCAAUUGCGAAGGCAGCUCACUAAGGCGAUACUGACGCUGAGGCACGAAAGCGUGGGGAUCGAACAGGAUUAGAAACCCCAGUAGUCC